UGGAAAUGAACAGUGUCCUGUAACCCUCAGGUGAGACUAGAGUCAGAAUGCAGGCUUUUCUCAUUUGAAAUCUCAAGGUAAGUCCAGGUCCUUACCUCCACCUAAAAGUUCUGCCACCAAGGGACAUCUGCUCAUUAUCUUCUGUCCACACAUCAAAUGACUUCAAUGUGACCCCUGGAUGUUCUCCAAAGAGCUGAAAGGAAAUAAAUAUUCUUUCUUUAUCACCAAAUACUUCAACUGCAGAGUGGUUGUGCUACCAAGGCCUGAAACUUUGGAAAAACCUGCAUAACACAAAAUAUAUAUGCCACAGAGAGGAUCCAGAGAGCCCAUCUUCAGUCAGUUAUCUGUAUUUGCAUGUCAACUACAGCAUCAAGAAGCAUAGGCAUGGAUACUAAGGACCCCCUCUGUACACCAAAGCCAGUCCAAAGGACAGUGUGUCACUGUGAACUGUAAAUUCAUCUCUCUUCUUCAUCUUUUUUCUACCUACUUUAUGCUUUAUCUCUAAGUUGAGGCUGUUUAUGGCCUCAUCCUCAAUUACCUUGUCCCUCGUUACUCCCAGUUAAUGGAGAUUAAGCUUUGUAUCAUGACUUCCUAACUAAAACUGAAAUCACAAGACAUCACAUAAAUAAAGUG
rnacentral:lncRNA from 1 species